rnacentral:rRNA from 1 species
GAUGAACGCUGGCGGCGUGCCUAAUACAUGCAAGUCGAGCGAACAGACGAGGAGCUUGCUCCUCUGACGUUAGCGGCGGACGGGUGAUUAACACGUGGAUAACCUACCUAUAAGACUGGGAUAACUUCGGGAAACCGGAGCUAAUACCGGAUAAUAUAUUGAACCGCAUGGUUCAAUAGUGAAAGACGGUUUUGCUGUCACUUAUAGAUGGAUCCGCGCCGCAUUAGCUAGUUGGUAAGGUAACGGCUUACCAAGGCAACGAUGCGUAGCCGACAUGAGAGGGUGAUCGGCCACACUGGACCUGAGACACGGUCCAGACUCCUACGGGAGGAAGAAGUAGGGAAUCUUCCGCAAUGGGCGAAAGCCUGACGGAGCAACGCCGCGUGAGUGAUGAAGGUCUUCGGAUCGUAAAACUCUGUUAUUAGGGAAGAACAAAUGUGUAAGUAAAUAUGCACGUCUUGACGGUACCUAAUCAGAAAGCCACGGCUAACUACGUG